GCCCGGCUAGCUUAGUUGGUAGAGCAUCGGACUCUCGAUCUCAGGGUCAUGAGUUCAAGCCCCAGGUUGGACA
rnacentral:tRNA from 1 species